AGGAUUAAAGUUAAAAAUACAUCAGAGCAAAAGAAUUCACCUUUAAGUAUGACAGUAAUCCUACUCAGAGCAACUGAAACACUCUAAAUUAAAAACUAAACCCACCUGCAGAUUUACAGCAUUGCCUCGGCUAAAUCAAGACAAAGCAGAUCAGGAAAAGACUCCUAUCUCUAAACUGAAGUUAAUUGAAAGGAUGUUUUAUUAACUGGUGUUAGGAGAGAGGUACUUGUAUCUGUAUGACUGCUCUGAGCACACAGGCUUGCCACCUAGGAGCCUUCAGAAGUCAGUCAGCAUAACACCUGCUCAGCACGGCUUUGUAAAAUUUAAUGGAGCAUAAGGCAAAACCUCAAGGGGCACAGCUCUCAUUAAUAAAAACAAAUUACAAUUUAAAAGUAAACUCUGUUGAACAAAAUGGAAACUACGACUGGUAUAAUUUAGAUUCUGAACUACGUGGAGAUCUUUAUUACUCUCCUGCAUUUCUCUGUUAGAGGCCUCUUCUCUAGCUUAAAAAUACAGAAAACAAUCCAGUUACAUAAAAAAUCAGAAACUUUCUGAUUGUUGAGCUAAAUUAGUGUUGCUGUAGUUUUUUUGCCACAUGGCACUCAGCAGCUGCUCUGCUGCCUUAACAUUCCACUCUCAAUCCUUCAGGCCCCUUAAAUCAUCAGACUAUAAAUUAGGGACUGAAACUCUCACUUUCAAGUGAGAAAAAUCAGAAUGAUAGAUUGACCAUGAAUCAUCAUUAGAAAAAAAAUGCAAGUUGCCUCAAAUACCGCUUGGCUCCUUGUAUCCUCCUCUCCAUUUUGCCGGUUUCACGACGGGUUUAUAAUAGGAAACUAUUUCUCUGUUGGUGUAUGAGAAACCUCAGUAAGAACAGGAAAACGUUCUCAUCACUUGAUUUCAGUUAUGUAGAUUUUUAGCCAUUUGCACAGCCCUACUACUUCUCGCUUGAGCGAGACUGCACACACAAGUGUUUACAGGAUCAUGCUCUGACAAGCACACAAAGGAAAUGGUGAAACUGCCUGCGUACCCGCUGAUGUCAAAGCAGAAGAUGUGUGGGCCUGGUAAAGCCUUGCAGAAUUUCCUGUCACUUCUCAUACAACGCUGACGAAACAUCAGCUAAUAGCAGCAGAACAAACCUCCACCACGUUGUCUUCUCGGGAGAGGAAGCACGAAGACUAACAGGUAUCAUGAAGUAUAACUGCAAACAUUUCCGAUCCAGAAUUUAUCAUCACUGAAAUGUUCUAGAAUUCAUCACUGAAGUGCAUGAGACUAAAGGAAAACCUCAGUAAUUUACUGUAAGAAAGAAUUAUAAAACAACAACAACAACAAAUCCCUCCUUCUUAAUGCUUGAAGACUGCGGACUAAAACGCAUUCACAAGAAAUCGGUACCAUCUGGGUUGAUUUAGCUUUGUGAUUAAAAAAGGUUUUUGUACAAACACGAUUCUAUUUUACACAUGGCUACCUAAUAUAUGCCAGAUAUGAGCUGCACACGAAGAUGAACCAUCUCUAAAACGCCAGUCCCCAAAUAACGUAUUCCUGCCUCAAAUGUAAUCCGAUUUUGCAAAAUUUCCUAACAAGACUCAGAAAAACAUUUACAACAGUCGACCUAAUUAGAAAUUUCUGAAUAAGCAAACUGAUUACAUUUAAAUUCCCAAUAGGUAUAAAAACGUUAUUAUUGCAAUGAAUAUCCAAUUAAGUGUAUUUAGAAAAAAAUAAUCCAAGGCAUCCCAUCCAUUCUCUUUUCAUUGCUUCUGAAGGUGAGGCAGAAACAAGUCUGCAUCGCCCCAGAAGCUGGUACACCUCCCAUUAAGCACUAAUGUCACAAAGGGCCUCACAUUACUCAGUAACGAGACACUAAAGCAUUGCAAAAUGAGCGUCCUGAAUAGCCCUACGAAUUACUACUGCUGGAGUUAAAUUAAUUUGGUUCAAUAAAGGACUGCUCCUAAAAACGCAGCGCUAUCUUCUGAACACGUAUCUUUUACGUUGCACUCUUAGAGAAAGAAAAAAGUUUCACUGUUAAUAACUUGUCACUGUGACAGCAAAUUAGCUUUGAGAAAAAAGUAAAUUCAAGUAUGUUCUCCCAAGCAAGACGAAUUCCUGCUACGAAAGCGUAAUAUAAGAAUACAUUUUCCCUUAAUUUACCCAACAUGGAUAUUGAGCACAGUAUAAUUUUGUUAAUAAUUUUAGACAUCUUGCAGCAAGCCACUUCUUCAAUGAUACAUGCAGUUCAGUACAGGCUGAGAAAAUCAAACUGUCCUGUUCUUAAAAGGAAUGCUUGUAUUAAGUGAUUAUGUGAUAAUAAUCCACUUUUAUCUAUUAAAAGUCAGCUGUCUACCAUGUAGAGCUGUAAUACACACAUUGUCUAACAUGCUCAAACCUGUGGAAGCCAAAGCCAGGAGUCAUCUUGAAGAAUUCCAAACCUAGAGCUAGAUGCAAGUUUUGUUACUGCUUAAACUGCCCCUAAAUUUGCACUAACCGUGGAUGGUUUUAUUUUACAGUGAAUGCACGGUUUUGUCUCUGCCUUCUCACUAAGUUCAACUGUUACCAGAGAGCUCCUGAAAAAGGAGCCAGAUUGCUGAUGAGGCAGAUUCACUAACGGGACCAGAGUCUCUCCACCACAAAAAUAUUAAUGGCCUUGAUGAGCUGCAGCUCAUCACGCAGUCACUGCUCCAUGAUUUACCAGCUCUGCAAAAUGCCAGAAUUUCCAAGAACAUUCAGCAAAACUGACUGAUCCAGUUUUUGGAUCGAUGGCACGCCACCAGAUCACCCAACAGUCGAGACUUCCCAAUAUUGAGAGACACGUUCACAUCCAGAACCCAAACGUCAGUAAGGUUACCUCCAGAGGGACCGCCACUAACAAUAAAUGGAAACUUAAAACAAAAUCAGGGACCAAACCCACCUCCCCCCCCCCGCCUCAGCUAAACACAGCACGCAACCUGCGUUGCCAGCUCCCUGAUGGCAGACAGCUUCCUCUUUUUGUAAUACAUUUUUAGAGUACUCCAGUGGCAGUGGCUUGCUGGGAUCUUCCUCUCGUUUUUGCAUGAAUGAGAAAGGGCCCAGCUUGAGUGCUUUGCUUCAACUGUAAGCCCAUACUCUCUGAAGGCAAGGUUUCCGCUCAAACAGAACAGUAACCUUAAAAAUUACACAAACAUGAACUGUCUUUGGGGAUACUCGGUAACAUUUUUUAAAAGAUGUAAUUUAAUAGUAACAACAACAACAAAACCCACUACCCUGCUUGAGUAUCCUCCGAACAGCUUGUGUAUCCUAACGAACUGUAAGCCCAACAAUCUUAUUCUCUUUUCUGGGUAGGCUGAGGGAGAAAAUCCUUGGUAAGCUUUCUUGCACACUUGUUUUUAUAUGCAAGUUAAGAGAGAAGUCACUUAACUGAAUAAAUGUUGUAUUUAGUAAAAAAUCAUCCGAUUGAUUACCAUUUUUGAUGUGGAUAACGGUGGCCUUUCCUAAACAAGCUCCACCAACAGCUCUGUAUCUUCUCCUAAAAAUCUUCAGCUAUUCAGUCCAAGUGGGUUAGAGUUUUAUUUCUCCACUAAUAGGGAUCUGCUGCAAAAAGCAGAGAGCAGGUUCAGUACAGCGUUAUGCCUGCCUUACACGCAGCUGUAUUCUGUAGCAUUUUCCCUUCUUUAGUUAUUUUUUCAAUAGUUCCUACACUUAAGGUAUCACAGCAGGCUCUUAAGACCUACCUCUCCUUUUUAUCUUUCUAGCCAGGGUACGUGGUAAUGCGAGAGAACAAUGGAAAAAAAAUAAAAGAAUUAUUGCUUUUGUACAGAUCAGUAGAUUAUGGCAUUAAAACCCGAGAACUUUGCUCAUCAUUGUACAUUAUGUCAACACUAAAAGCUAAAGAAUAAACAGGAGCUCAAACGCCAAUUCAGGGCUGUAAAAUGUCUCCCUCGAUAACACAGAACGUUCAUUGUGUAUCGAUGUACACGGAAUAAGGGAGCGAUGGGGAAGAGAUCAUUCUUUUCAAAUACCUUUAUUGACAAGCAAAUUCACAAAUGUCUUUUCCUUUCUGGACUCCACUGGCAAUUCAAUCGCAUUACAUGUUUCAGUGCACUUCUAUCAAAUGCACAGUUAAGUAUUUCUGAACCUUGCUCAUUUUUUAUCUUCUGUGAAAGAACUACUCAGGCAGAAAGAAAGCUCACAGUAGUUAGAAACAGAUGUUCUAUAAUUUUAAUACCCCACAACCACCUCAGGUGAAUCAAUAAAGUAACUUCAGUAUUUCCUUGAUCGUUGUGGUCAGUGUGGACACACCUGCUUUUACAGGAAGUUACCGAAUCCCUCACAUUGGUCGUAAUUACCAACUUCUCCAAAAACCGUUAUCCAAAUCCCUUCUUUGGUUUUGCUGGGAACAUGUAGGGUGCUAACAUAUGUCAAUCAAGAAUAUCUUAAGUUCAUUGCAUUUUUUCAUUUCUUAAUUCUUUUAAACAAACUAGAGAGAAUUUGUUCCACUCAGACCGAAGUUUAAAGUUGUUGCAGAUCUUGAAAGAGUCUUCUGGAAAAGAAGGCAGCUCUGACCGAGCAACAAGACACCGUUAACAAGGGGCUAGCUGCAAACUGCAGAUGUACGUACACCAUUUUUAUCUAGGAGAAUACUGCCACCAUGUGGACUGGCAGACUCCUCUUCAACUGAAGUAAAAGGUACGAUAAGAUAAUCCUAGACCCACGCAGACUAGUUUUUCUAGAUUUUAUGGCGUUUUCUAAUUUCCUGAGAAGGAACAAAAGAAUCACAGAAAAGUUGAGGCUGGCAGGGACCUCCGGAGUCCAUCUGGUCAGCCCCCCUGCACAAGCUGGAACACCCAGAGCUGCUUGCCCAGGACCACGUCCAGGUGGCUUCUGAAGACAGAGACGGAAGAGAAACGAUGGAAGGCCUAAAAACUUGAUAAAAAAAGAAUUCUGAAAUCCAAACUGUCGUUCCUGUGUCACACAGACAGCAAUCUUUGUUUAAGCACUGAUCCUGUAUUAGUAAAAUGAGGACUUCAGGAUAUGUCUUUGAGUUCUGAAGAUAAAGUUUUUUUCCUGCAUUUAUUCCUGUUUAAUGACGAGGAAAAAAAAAAAAAGCCUUACACAGACAAACAGUAACUCUGAUAAUGGCAGGUUUGACAGGUUCACUAAAAUGGGAAACCUCCCUCCUCCAGCAGGAAUUGCCAGAAGCCACAGCUUAAUCAGCUUUAUUCCAGCAACAAAGCAAACUAACAAUCGAGCAGCUGCCACUAAACCACUUAUUAUUAUAUAGUCUAUAUUCUCUUAUUUUUUUUCUUAUAAUGUGUAUAUUAGCAAUAUAUGACCUUGACAGACGUGACCGUUGUAACGCAUGCAUCAUCAAAUCCAUCUUAAUGGAUGGUGAACAGAGGUGGGUCAUUUUAAAGACCUGAAGUCUCCUAACUUUGUAUGUUAUUUAUAUAUAACAGAUUAUUUGACAUUACUUUUCAAGUACUAUAUUGUGCUGCUUGUUUAUUACAGCUUAUAAUUUUGUAUCAACAACUAAUGCCAGUGACAAGCCAAGUUGCUGUCAGAGACGCAACUCUUGCUACUACUGGAUACAGUUAUUUCUGCUCCAAAUUUUCAUGUUCACACAGUAAACCAAGAAACCAGUUUAUCAAAGCUAAAUUGUUAACUGAUAUAUUUACUUGUUCCAAUUAUUCUAAAUCUCCAUCAAUACAGUAUGAUUUUUUACUAUGUACUUUCUGAGAUGGGGGACAGAGGUGGGGGAACUGCACACAGUUUUGAGGUGAACCACAGAUUAUCACAAUCACAUGAAAAGAUUUUCGGUUUUGUUCUUCACGUGUUUUCCAAUAAUAGUUACUAUUUGAUUUACCUUUCUGACUGCAUUAUCUAUGGGUACAUUUUUAUGGAACCAUUUAUCAUAACUACAAAAUAUUGCUCAUUACUGAAAGCCCAUGAUUUCAUUCAUAGAGGGCUCAGGAAUCUUUUUACCCUAUUUGAAUCGCUUUACAUACCUGCACUGAAUUUCCUAUGCUAUGAUAUUGUCCACUUAGUCGGUUUUACAGUGUCCAUCUACAGUUUUUCACAGUCGACCUUAUCUUUACUGCUCCUGUUAUCAGCAAACACUACCACCUUGUUGCUCACUGCCUUUUCUAGGCUGUUCAGGUAUAUACUAACAGUUCAGAACCCAGAAUGUAAUCCUGUAGAACUAAAACUCUUCCACUGAAAAAACUGGUCCUAAGUUCAUAAAAAUGCCCACCCAAAUCCAGCCCACCCAGCACUCUGCUUUCAACAGCGGCAACCAGAGAAGCCUCUCGGGGAGAGGCUUCUCCAAGAAGCUUUUUCUUGAGCGGCAGCUGCCACUUCGGUCAUGAGUUCAGCACCAUGUAAACGCAGUUCAGAUUACUCUACUCAAGACAUCACCUUACCUUUAUGCACACUGAAGCUCACGUGUCCCCGUUCUGCCCCCUUCCUUGGUUUGGGGAUUUAUUUUUGCCUCUCUUUAAUUUUUCAACCCAACUAUUUCUGCAUAUAAGAGACCCUUUUUGUGCUCUAAGUGACUACUAUCCUUAAAAGUUUCUGAUAAAAUUUUUUGAAUGCUUCCUGAAAAUCCCAGUGACAUCUGAAGCCUAUCACCUGCAUCUACAACGCUACUCAGUACUCCUCGGCGGAAGCUGACUAGCCAUAAACAGAUCAAACCUCUAAAAAUGUGUCCGCACACAGGCAAAACCAUCCCCUAACAAAUGAAGACACAGCAAGGACAGGUAUACACCUCUCUCUGCACUUCUCUGGUGAAGAAGAAAGGCAAGCAUUCUAGACCAUCCCUGGGAAAACAAUAAACCAGAAGUCUUUCCUGAAACCUGCAGCUGCCCUUUCUCUAUCCCCACCCAUUACGCUGAUCUGAUGCUGUAAGGUCUUGAGCACACUGGGGAAUAUACCAUCAAUGCACAUUAAAAGAUUUACUCCUUUAUGUUAUAAAAUUCUAGUGAUGUAGCUGUGUUAACCAGAUGUGAGAAAUUUGUCGAGUGGCAAAGCUGGUGUUUCUACAGCUCUGUUCCACUUAAGAUUCUGGUUUUAAUUAUACAGCUACACUACUUUCCCAAGUGGCAUUCCUGUCUUUUACUCCGUUGAUAAUAUUUCAAAUGACUAAGCCCUACAGUACACAUAUGGCUUCUAUGAGGUGCUGCAUGAGAUCAGAGUAAAACUUGUUCCCCACCUACUUAGAAAACAUUACCUUUAAAUGGUAAAGCAAAUGAAAACCAACCUGAACUUUUCAGUAUUCCACAUACUUAGUAUCGUUGUUAAACAGUAAAGCAAACCUGAGCAUUCAGUAUUUGUGGUAUCUGACAUAGGUGCACCAACAACUGCAGUUUGGUGUAACAGGCACGUGCACCCAUGGCAAGCUUGUCAGCUGGUCAUCUACACUGAUGGCACGCUAUGGACGGUCUCCACACAAAGCUGACUGCAUCAGGGAUCCUGUAUUUCACAAAAAGCAUUUCAGAGGGCGUUUGUCUAUACACGUUAUGUCCACGUUAACUGACAUCUGGAAGCGGAGCACAAGUGAGACCACAGGGGAGAUGACCAACAGGCUGAUGGGAA